GCCUUGAUCGUAUAACGGUUAGUACAAGCGCUUCACACGCGCUAGACCUGGGUUCGACUCCCAGUCAGGGUA
rnacentral:tRNA from 1 species